rnacentral:lncRNA from 1 species
CACAUACAACACACACACACACACACACGUGCACAUAUGCAUAUACGUACACACACACCAUCGCGCUUGCACGUGUUGGUGGGGGGAGGAAAAGGGGUUUUGUCAACAAAAUUUUACAGUAGGAAACAUGUGACUUCGUUGCCCUGUAUUUUGGGAUCGAACUAGAAAAAAAUACGAAGUUCCCAUUUGUACGUCUAAGCUACACGGCUAUAUCCGUACAUCUAUCUAUCUAUAUCUGUCUAUCUAUCUUUAUGUAUGUAUGUAUGUAUGUAUGUAUGUAUGUAUGUAUGUAUGUAUGUAUGUAUGUAUGUCUGGCUGUCUGUCUAUCUAUCUAUCCAUCUGUCUGUCUGUCUAUCUAUCUAUCCAUCUGUUUGUCUAUCUAUCUAUCCAUCUGUCUGUCUGUCUGUCUAUCUAUCUAUCCAUCUGUCUGUCUGUCUAUCUAUCCAUCUGUCUGUCUGUCUAUCUAUCUAUCUGUCUGUCUGUCUAUCUAUCUAUCUAUCUAUCUAUUUGUCUGUCUGUAUGUCUGUCGAUCUAAAUAUCUGUCUGUCUAUACAUCUAUCUAUUAAUCUUGCUCUAUAGAUGUACGUACGUACGAAUGCAUGUAUGUACGUACGAAUGUAUGUAUGUAUGUACGUACGAAUGUAUGUAUAUGUACGUACGAAUGUAUGUAUAUACGUACGUAUGUAUAUUUGUAUGUAUGUAUGUACGUACGAAUGAAUGUAUAUGUAUGUAUGUAUGUAUAUGUACGUACGUAUGUAUGUAUGUAUGUACGUACGUACGAAUGUAUGUAUGCAUAUUACGUAUAUAUCUAUGUAUAAACUACGUACGUACGUACGAAUGAUAUGUACGUAUUAUGUACGUACGGAGAGGAAUGAGAGAAGAAGAAAGAGAGAGAGAGGCAAAAGAAGACAAAAGCAUCGGAUCGACAUGCGUGUGUGCAUGUGUAAAAGAACAUACACAGACACACGUGUUGGUAAGUGUGUGUGUGUGACAGUCGACAUUUGUUUGCAGGCUUGUCUGUCUUCUGUAGUAAAUACACACACGGCUAAGUGUAUGCAUGUGUGUGUGUGUGUGUGUGUGUGUAUACAUGCGUACAUAUAUAUAUACAUAUAUAUAUAUUUGUAUAUAUGCGAGUGUGUAUUGUAUGUACACAUACAUACAUGUCUUUUUUUCGUCAAUACCUAUAUUAUUUAUUGACAUCCAUCUUCCUACGCCCCAUUUUCUCUGUCACACCUGCAUACAGACAAACAGACAGAAAACUUUGUUGGUAGGUAGGUAGGUAGGUAGGUGGAUAAGUAGACAGACAGAUAGAUAGAUAGAUAGAUAGAUAGAUAGAUAGAUAGAUAGAUAGAUAGAUAGAUAGAUAGAUAGAUAGACAUACAUUUAAAUAUGCAUAUACACACACACACAUACAUCGACACAGGUACACAUAUUCAAAAUAUGUGUUUAUGCAAGAGAUCUAUGUAUGCAUAUAUAUAUGUAUAUAUAUAUAUAUAUAUAUAUAUAUAUAUAUAUAUAUAUAUAUAUAUAUAUAUAUAUAUAUAUAUAUAUAUAUAUAUAUAUAUAUAUAUAUACAUAUAUAUGUAUAUGCACAUACAUACACAAGGUAGUGCAAAUACAGGUGCAAAGUUACCUGAAAAGAAAAUACGAACAAUACACAUUUAUUUUUAUCAAAAAAAUUAAAAGUUACGAUAAAAGUUUUAUAAUUAAUGACGCUGACAAUAUCAAAAAUGAGGCUAACUAAUCUAAUGUGCAAAAUAAUUUUAACGCUGAUAAGAUCCCUGCUGUAUACCUACUGUACACACACCCUGUACACACACACACACACACACACACACACACACACACACAUACGCAUAUAUAUAAAGCAAAUGAGGAGGAACUCAUGUUCCAUGCAUACUGGUGCACAGAUAUGUAAAAUAAUUUAUUGUGCACUGAAAGUAUUAUUAUAUGAUGAAAGCUACGAAACGGCUGUCAUCCUACGGUUAUAUCAAAUGGUGAAACAAAUAUUUUCAUCUGUCAUUCCUUCCGACUUUUUAUAUUCAAUAUAUAUUCCUCGUGAAGCAAUUUCAUAUAUUGGAUCAAGUGGUAUAUCAACGGCAUAAGAUUCAGCAUCACACUCUUCCGUAUUGGGUUACCAUGUCGUAUGGUACCUGGGUCGUCUGAAGGAACUUUUCUGUGAUUACCAUUGGAUUCUACGAAUCCAUAUAUUGCACUGCAAAUAUAUAUAUAUAUAUAUAUGCAUAUAUAUUCUUUUAUUUGUUUCAGUCAUUUGACUGCGGCCAUGUUGGAGCACUGCCUUUGGUCGAACAAAUCGACCCCAGGACUUAAUCUUUGUAAGCCUGGUACUAAUUCUAUUGGUCUAUUUUGCCGAACCGUUAAGUUACGGGGACGUAAACACGCCAGCAUCGGUUGUGAAGCGAUGUUAGAGUGACAAACACAGACAUUCAAACAUAUAUAUGCAUAUAUACGACGGGGUUCUUUCAGUUUCCAUCAACCAAAUCCACUCACAAAGCUUUGGUCGGCCCGAGGCUAUAAUAGAAAACACUUGCCCAGGGUGCCACGCAGUGGAACUGAACCUGUAACCAUGUGGUUGGUAAACAAGCUACUCACCACACAGCCAUUCCUACUUAGAUAAACUUAGAUAUUUUUCGACCAAAGAUUGGUCCAGACCAUGUCCAACUUAAUAGCACCACCUGAUAGGAUUAUCUAAAUUUUGUUUAAGUCAAGUUUUGCGGUAUCGUGUUCCAUUCAAGUAGGGAGUUCUUGUUGAGUGAGUUGUGUCCAGGUAUGGCAAAAAUGUCAUUCGUAACUCGCUGGAACCUACGAAUGACAUUUUUGAGGACGACUUUGCCUUUCAUCCUUUCGGGGUCGAUAAAUUAAGUACCAGUUACGCACUGGGGUCGAUAUAAUCGACUUAAUUCGUUUGUCUGUCCUUGUUUGUCCUCUCUGUGUUUAGCCCCUUGUGGGUAGUAAAGAAAUAGGUAUGGGUGGCUUAUCUGGUAUUCCUUGAAGAAAUAUAUAUACACACACACAUAUGAAUGCAUUAUGUACAAGCAUACACGCAUACGUAAUACAUACAUAAAUACACACACACAUGCACACAUACACACACACGUGUAUGUCGAAUCCGCUGCGUGGAAACUUAGAUAACAAUCGCGUUUCGUAACCUCAGAUCGAUUUAAUCACUCUAUAAGUGAAUUUGGUUUGUCGGAAUUUUAGCUGUCAUUCAAAGAACCAUCCUAAUGCUUAUAACAUUGCGGAAAAUGGAAUCAUCGUUGGGAAAGUACAUGAAGGUUGUCUGUGAAAAUACUCAACGGCUUCGACUAAAACUGGUCGAUUGGUUGAAUGACACAGGGAUAUUCUUCGUUGUUGGAAAUCUACGGGGUUCCAUGCGUAUGUGUGUGUGUGUGUGUGUUUGAUGUAUUUUCAUUUUGGUUUAGCAGAAUCAUAAUACACACGCACAGACACACACACAAACACAUACAGGCACAUACAUACACACGUGCAGAAAGAUAAACUGACAGACAAGAUAGAUAGACAGACAGAUAAGAUAGAUAGAUAGAUAGAUAGAUAGAUAGAUAGAUAGAUAGAUAGAUAGAUAGAUAGAUAGAUAGAUAGAUAUUUUUUUAUUGCCCACAAAGGGCUAAACAUAGGACAAAGACAGACAAAGGGAUUAAGUCGAUUACAUCGACCCCAGUGCGUAACUGAUACUUUAUUUAUCGACCCCGAAAGGAUGAAAGGCAAAGUCGACCUCGGCGGAAUUCAAACUCAGAACGUAGCGGCAGACAGACAGACAGACAGACAGACAGACAGACAGACAGAUAGAUAAAUAGAUAGAUAGAUAGAUAGAUAGAUAUAUGAAUUCGUAUAUCUGCGUGUGUAUAACCGUGUGCUCAUGUAUGUGUGUUUGUAUGUGUAUGCGUGCGUCGCGUAUGUGUGAGCGUGUGCGUGCGUUUAUGCGCAUGUGUGUGUGUGUGUGUGUGUGUGUGUGUGCGCGCGCGCGCGCGCGUGGUUGUGCGCGUGCGCGUUUAUUUACAUUCGUAAUCUGUAUUACUGCAAAUAAAACAUUUCCCUUUAGUUUUCACUGGAAAGGUUGAGUGUGAAUGCCAGUAUUUUCGAACGCUAUACUCUUUCAUUCUUUCAUUCCCUCAUUCCUUCAUUCACUUAUUCUUUCAUUCAUUCAUUUAUUAUAUUUUCUUCCUCCAUUCACAUCUUACUUCCCUCCUUUCAUUUAUCCAUUUUUCCCAACGCCUCGAUUCUGCUUUUGGUGCCAAGCAAGCCUCGUAACAACCAAAGCGAAAUCCAAAUAAAUAUUGUUUGCUGUAUUCGAGAAAUCCUUUGGGAUUUUUUUCGUUAUUUCCAUCUAAAUAAACGAAAUAACAAAAAGAAAAAAAUACUAAUUCAAACAAUAUUCUAAGAAAUAAAACACAGCGUUGUGUGCUCCAGCAUGACCAUUUCCUAGUUGCUGGAACCAGUAGAAAGAGUGAAGAUUUUCUUCUUCUAACCGCUUUAGUGCUGCACACUGGCCACUGUCCACCCGGUGGAGCACAUUACGCUUGUUUUUAUUAUUUUCUUUCUCAAUCGAACACGGUUUGCGGGAGAACCUCUACGUGGUUGCUUGGAUAACUCGAAAGAGCAGUCAAAUCCCCGAUUUACAAACCCAAUGUCUAUCUAUCUAUCUAUCUAUCUAUCUAUCUAUCUAUCUAUCUAUCUGUCCGUCCGUCUGUCUGUCUGUCUGUCUGUCUGUCUCCCUAUCUAUCUGUCUGUCUGUCUGUGUGUCUGUCUCUGUGUGUGUCUGUCUGUCUGUCUGUCUGUCUAUCUAUCUAUCUAUCUAUCUAUCUUGUCUGUCUGUCUCUCUAUAUGUCUAUAUAUCUCUCUCUCUCACUCACUGUCUAUAUAUGUGUGUGUGUGUGUGUGCGUGUGAAAGCCACUAGAAAAUGUUCCACAUUACUUUCAAAAAGAAUGGAUAGGCACGACAGGAACGGCCUUAAUCACAGGCUUGUGCAGGACCUUUAAAGAAAGCAUAAAUAUGCACGACUCUGCGAGGGAGGUGGCGAUGAUGGUGAUGGUGAUGAAAAUGGAGAUGGUAAUGAUAUUUGUCGUGAUGAUGAUGAUGAUGAUGAUGAUGAUGAUGAUGAUGAUGAUGAUGAUGAUGAUGAUGAUGAUGAUGAUGAUGGUGAUGAAGAGAGUGUGAAACGAAAUAGGGGGGAAGUAACAGGAAUAACCACAACAUCAACAACAACAAUAUCAACAACGAACAUGUUUAACACACAAUAACGACUCCAACAGUAACAAGAACAACGAAAUACACACACACACACACACAUACACGUAUAUGUAUGUACGAAACAUAAACCUCACCUCGAGGGAGAUACGAGCUGAAUGUCUAAUAUGUAAGAAAUAGCAGCCAAAUGUCCCUGAAAACCAUCCCAAAAUAAGGAGCGUAAACAUUAGAUAUAUUUUCUUUUAGCCACAGGCGAAGGAGUGGCUGUGUGGUAAGUAGUUUGCUUACCAACCACAUGGUUCCGGGUUCAGUCCUACUGUGUGGCACCUUGGGCGAGUGUCUUCUACUAUAGCCUCGGGCCGACCAAAGCCUUGUGAGUGGAUUUGGUAGACGGAAACUGAAAGAAGCCCGUCAUAUAUAUAUGUAUACAUAUAUAUAUAUAUAUAUGUGUGUGUGUGUGUGUGUGUGUGUGUGUGUGUGUGUGUGUGUGUGUGUGUGUGUGUGUGUGUGUGUGUGUGUGUGUUGUGUAUCUGUGUUUGUCCCCCCAACAUCGCUUGAUAACCGAUGCUGGUGUUUUUACGUCCCCGUAACUUAGCGGUUCGGCAGAAAGAGGCUCGAUAGAAUAAGGACUAGGCUUACAACGAAGAAUAAGUCCUGGGGGUCUAUUUGAUUCGGCUAAAGGCCUGUGCUCCAGCAUGGCCGCGGUCAAAUGACCUGAAACAACUAAAAGAGAACAGAUGUCUCUGGAAAAACAUGGCUAUGUCAUGCGGGUGAAUGAUUUUCGAUCAUGGAUUUGUGCCACUGCGAUCGACCCGGGGUUAAAUGAUGACAGCGACGAUGACAACGAUGACGAUAUCACUAACAACAAUAACAAUUAACGAUGACAGAAUUCUCGCUGUUACCAAUUUUUGUGUUGUAGAAUAGAUUAUCACACAUGUUCUUUCGUGGUCUCCGCUCCAAAUAAAUACUCGGCCGUGUACGAAGGAAGGAAACCAGCGCGCAAGCGCUCACUGAGAUACACACGCACUCAGGUACGCACGCACGCACGCAGACACACAUGCAUAUAGGCGUUUGUGUGUGUGUUUGUGUGUGAGUGCGCUGUGUUUUCAUAUCUGUUUAAUACGUGAUGCUGUGAGUACAUGUAUGUGUAUGCAUAUAUUUAUGAUUCUAUAUUGUAUCCGAGGAGCGUAUGUACGUAUGCAUCUAGUUUAUCGAUCGAUACAUAUUUAUUUCUCUCUCUCUCUCUCUCUCUCUCUCUCUCUCUCUCUCUCUCUCUCUCUCUCUCUCCACUGUAUGUUAUAUACACACAUGUAAUAUAUACUUAUGCAAAUAAACACACACACACACACACACACACACACACACACACACACACACAUAUGUAUAUAUUUCGUAAACUUUCCCUUUAUAUAUAUAUACUAGCAGUAUCGCCCGGCGUUGCUCAGGUUUGUAAGGGAAAUAACUAUAAAGCAUUUUUAGAGAGUUAUAGCCCAAAAAUAUAAAAAAAAAUGGAAAAAAAAUGAUGGUAAAUUUUUUUGAGAGUAAAAAAAGGUGGAGUUGCGUCCCCUAGACAGUUUACGGUUUGUGUUUCUAAUUCUCGACCCCAUGUCGAAUUUAUCGAUUUUGUUCAGAACUGGGGGAACUUUUCAAAAUUUUCGCUGCGUUAGUUUUGAAUUAUGACAUUGGGCUAUGUGUGUGUCAAGUUUCAUCAGAAUCGGUUGAAAGCCGUGGUCAGGGUGAGGGUACAAGCAAACAGACACACAGAAACACGCACAGACAAACUGCCGUUUAUAUAGAUAUAUAUAUAUAUAUAUAUAUAUACACACACACAUAUACAAAAUUAUAAUAGCAGUCAAAACUUGACUCUAAAACCACAUUAAAUGUUCAUAUAUAUGAACAUUUAAUGUGGUUUUAGAGUCAAGUUUUGACUGCUAUUUCCAGCGUGGAGGUAUCUCUUAGAUACCCUAAAUUAUAAUUUUAAAUAAUUAUUACCUUUGAAAGGUUUUUAUUCUCAUGCUGUCAUGCUGACCACCUUAUAAGAUCGGUAUUUAAAUACUGAUUGUAUCCUUAUAUAUAUAUAUAUAUAUAUAUAUAUAUAUAUAUAUAUAUAUAUAGAGAGAGAGAGAGAGCUAAAUAGAUAGAUAGAUAGAUAGAUAGAUAGAUAGAUAGAUAGAUAGAUAGAUAGAUAGAUAGAUAGAUAGAUAGAUAGAUAGAUAGAUAUAUUUUCAAAAAUAUAUACACAUGUAUGCUUAUAUGUAUUAUAUGCUUAUAUA